UACGGAUGGUGCGAGCGUUGUCCGGAAUCAUUGGGCGUAAAGGGCGCGUAGGUGGCCCGGUCAGUUCGUGGUGAAAGCGCGGGGCUCAACCCUGCGUCGGCCAUGAAUACUGCCGCGGCUGGAGCACUGUAGAGGCAGGCGGAAUUCCGGGUGUAGCGGUGGAAUGCGUAGAGAUCCGGAAGAACACCGGUGGCGAAGGCGGCCUGCUGGGCAGUUGCUGACACUGAGGCGCGACAGCGUGGGGAGCAAACAGG
rnacentral:rRNA from 1 species